GACUCGGCCAAGUUCGAUCAAUCAAGGGGGCUCCUAGGUCAGUAGUACUCUGAUACCAACUUGUCACGCCCAAGAUGCGACCCUAUCCUCAAUUUGGCACAAAGGCCUCGUCAGGGAUAGAAGCGCAUCUCGUCAUGUCGCAAGAAUGCAUAUCGUUACAAGUACAUGUACUGAAAAGAUGAGAUAUAUAUAGAAUUGGCUUACACUCACCACAAGCUACAUCAGAGUCACAGCAGUACAAUACAUAAUCAUCAUGAAGAAGAGCAGGGUCCGACUACGAACGAAAACAAACGGGAAAAGAAGAACGACGUCCAUCCUUGCUAUCCCAGGUUGCCGGCCUGGAACCCAUCCUAGAUCGAUGAAGAAGAAGAAGAAGAAGCAACUCCAAAUGAACAAUCAACGCGCUCGCGUCAAGUAACCUUUACCUGUACCUGCAACUGGUGUUGUAGUAAUCUAUGAGCCACAUGGGACUCAGCAAUCUCAUUUCCAAAGGUAUCAAGACUAGCAAAGCUUAAUGGGUGAGGCAUGGUUAAGUGGUGAGGUUUCACCAGCGGCUAAGCAUAUAUUUGGUGACUACACUUACGAGUACAGGAAAUAAGAGGGGGAAGAUCUACGCAUAGUGGACGUGAACUACGGAUGAUCAAAUGAAUGAUCCUGAACACCAACCUACGUCCGAUAUAACCCCACCGUGUUCUCGAUCGAAGAAGGAACUCACGAAAGAGACAGUCACGGUUACGCACACAGUUGGCAAGUUUUAAUUAAGUUAACUUCAAGUUAUCUAGAAC
rnacentral:lncRNA from 1 species